rnacentral:rRNA from 1 species
GACGAACGCUGGCGGCGUGCCUAAUACAUGCAAGUCGAGCGCAGGAAAUCGACGGAACCCUUCGGGGGGAAGUCGACGGAAUGAGCGGCGGACGGGUGAGUAACACGUAAAGAACCUGCCCUCAGGUCUGGGAUAACCACGAGAAAUCGGGGCUAAUACCGGAUGGGUCAUCGGACCGCAUGGUCCGAGGAUGAAAGGCGCUUCGGCGUCGCCUGGGGAUGGCUUUGCGGUGCAUUAGCUAGUGGGUGGGGUAAUGGCCCACCAAGGCGACGAUGCAUAGCCGACCUGGAGGGGUGAUCGGCCACAAUGGGACUGAGACACGGCCCAGACUCCUACGGGAGGCAGCAGUAGGGAAUCUUCCACAAUGGACGAAAGUCUGAUGGAGCAACGCCGCGUGAACGAUGAAGGCCUUCGGGUCGUAAAGUUCUGUUGUAAGGGAAGAACAAGUGCCGCAGGCAAUGGCGGCACCUUGACGGUACCUUGCGAGAAAGCCACGGCUAACUACGUGCCAGCCGCCGCGGUAA